rnacentral:rRNA from 1 species
UACGUAGGGGGCAAGCGUUGUCCGGAAUUAUUGGGCGUAAAGAGCGUGUAGGCGGUCCGGUAAGUCAGCUGUGAAAGUCAAGGGCUCAACCCUUGAAAGCCGGUUGAUACUGUCGGGCUAGAGUCCGGAAGAGGCGAGUGGAAUUCCUGGUGUAGCGGUGAAAUGCGCAGAUAUCAGGAGGAACACCAAUUGCGAAGGCAGCUCGCUGGGACGUUACUGACGCUGAGACGCGAAAGCGUGGGGAGCAAACAGG